rnacentral:lncRNA from 1 species
GUCAAUGAUCCGAGGUUUCCAUUGUCCCUAAGCAAAGAGCCGAAGAGGAAUCAUGUCAAUAAUACUUUUCCAUUCUCCUGAUCUCAUGAAAUUUAAAAAGGCCAGUUAAUUUAUUAAGACUACACUUCCCACCCUAGGAAUUUGGGCCUUGGGCUGGAUCUCUUCCCACAAGGCUGGGCCACUACCUGCCACUCUGCAGGCCCAUCUUUAGGAUUAGCCCAGCUGCUGGUUCCCAUGCUGCCCUGCCUGACCCCAACAUCUCCUCUGUACAGCCUGACCCUGCUCCAACCUAGGGAGUAACAGCAUGACAGGUGAGACCCUUAUGAUUUAGUUCCAACAGACCUUUCUAAUCUCUUCUCCUGCCAUGCCCCAUCUUAAAGUUUACGCUCCCAAAACAUUGAACUGUUGCUUUCAGUUCUUUAUACCAUUGUCUUUUCUUUGGCUAUUAU